UACGGGGGGGGCAAGCGUUGUUCGGAAUUACUGGGCGUAAAGGGCUCGUAGGUGGCCAACUAAGUCAGACGUGAAAUCCCUCGGCUUAACCGGGGAACUGCGUCUGAUACUGGAUGGCUUGAGUUUGGGAGAGGGACGCGGAAUUCCAGGUGUAGCGGUGAAAUGCGUAGAUAUCGGGAGGAACACCAGUGGCGAAGGCGGCGAUCUGGGUCGAUACUGACGCUGAGGAGCGAAAGCCAGGGGAGCAAACGGG
rnacentral:rRNA from 1 species